rnacentral:rRNA from 1 species
CAGCAGCCGCGGUAAUACGUAGGUCCCGAGCGUUGUCCGGAUUUAUUGGGCGUAAAGCGAGCGCAGGCGGUUAGAUAAGUCUGAAGUUAAAGGCUGUGGCUUAACCGUAGUACGCUUUGGAAACUGUUUAACUUGAGUGCAAGAGGGGAGAGUGGAAUUCCAUGUGUAGCGGUGAAAUGCGUAGAUAUAUGGAGGAACACCGGUGGCGAAAGCGGCUCUCUGGCUUGUAACUGACGCUGAGGCUCGAAAGCGUGGGGAGCAAACAGGAUUAGAUACCCCUGUAGUCCCUGUCUCUUAUACA